rnacentral:rRNA from 1 species
UGAGUACGAGCUGCUACGGCAGCGAAGUGGGUGAUGUCAUGCUUCCAAGAAAAGCCCUAUACCCGUUAAGGCAUGAUGGCCUGUACCCGAAACCGACACAGGUGGGGUGGUAGAGAAUACCGAGGGGCGCGAGGUAACUCUCUCUAAGGAACUCGGCAAAAUGGCCCCGUAACUUCGGGAGAAGGGGUGCCACCGCAAGGUGGUCGCAGUGAAGAGGCCCAGGCGACUGUUUACCAAAAACACAGGUCUCCGCUAAGUCGCAAGACGAUGUAUGGGGGCUGACGCCUGCCCAGUGCCGGAAGGUUAAGGAAGCUGGUCAGCGUAAGCGAAGCUAGCGACUGAAGCCCCGGUGAACGGCGGCCGUAACAAUAACGAUCCUAAGGUAGCGAAAUUCCUUGUCGGGUAAGUUCCGACCCGCACGAAAGGCGUAACGAUCUGGGCGCUGUCUCGGAGAGAGGCUCGGCGAAAUAGAAUUGUCUGUGAAGAUGCGGACUACGUGCACCCGGACAGAAAGACCCUAUGAAGCUUUACUGUAGCUUGGUAUUGUGCUCGGGCUCGGAAUGCGCAGGAUAGGUGGGAGGCUAUGAACCAUUGCUUGUGGGUGAUGGUGAGCCACUGGUGAGAUACCACUCUUUCCGAGCUAGAGUUCUAACAGCCACCCGUUAUCCGGGGGCUGGACAGUAUCAGGUGGGCAGUUUGACUGGGGCGGUCGCCUCCUAAAAGGUAACGGAGGCGCACAAAGGUUUGCUCAGGCUGGUUGGAAAUCAGCCGACGAGUGUAAAAGCAGAAGCAAGCUUGACUGUGAGACCUACAAGUCGAACAGGGAGGAAACUCGGCUUUAGUGAUCCGACGGUUCUGCGUGGAAGGGCCGUCGCUCAACGGAUAAAAGUUACUCUAGGAUAACAGGCUGAUCUCCCCCAAGAGUUCACAUCGACGGGGAGGUUUGGCACCUCGAUGUCGGCUCAUCGCAACCUGGGGCUGAAGUCGGUCCCAAGGGUUGGGCUGUUCGCCCAUUAAAGCGGUACGCGAGCUGGGUUCAGAACGUCGUGAGACAGUUCGGUCCAUAUCCGGUGCAUGCGCAGGAAUAUUGAGAGGAUUUCUCCCUAGUACGAGAGGACCGGGAGGAACGCACCUCUGGUGUACCAGUUAUCGUGCCAACGGUAAACGCUGGGUAGCCAUGUGCGGAGAGGAUAACCGCUGAAAGCAUCUAAGUGGGAAGCCCACCUCAAGAUGAGUAUUCCCAUGGGGUAACCCAGUAAGGUCACGGGAAGAACACCCGUUGAUAGGCUCUACGUGGAAGCGCAGUAAUGUGUGAAGCGGAGGAGUACUAAUAGACCGAGGGC